rnacentral:rRNA from 1 species
UACGAAGGGGGCUAGCGUUGUUCGGAAUUACUGGGCGUAAAGCGCACGUAGGCGGAUAUUUAAGUCAGGGGUGAAAUCCCGGGGCUCAACCCCGGAACUGCCUUUGAUACUGGGUAUCUGGAGUCCGGAAGAGGUGAGUGGAAUUCCGAGUGUAGAGGUGAAAUUCGUAGAUAUUCGGAGGAACACCAGUGGCGAAGGCGGCUCACUGGUCCGGUACUGACGCUGAGGUGCGAAAGCGUGGGGAGCAAACAGG